CCUGGUGGGGGAUGACACUCUGGACCUGGAGUCUGAAGACCUCGUUUUCUGUCUCUGAGCUUCAGUUUUCUCAUCUAUGAAAUGGGAAUCAUAACACACGCUUGAUGUGACUCUCAGGGCUGCCCUAAGGAUACUGAAAAAUGGCGAAUGACGGCGUGCUUUGUACACAGUGGGUCGUCCAAGGGGAGCCAGAGAGUGCCUCUUUCUGGCAUGCCUGAGCCUCCGGAGCUGGAGAAGCCUCCUUUGGUCUCCUAGACUGCCUUUUCUCCUCCCAUCUGUCUCAACCUGCACAAAUCCUGCCGGGCUCUGCACAUUGCUCUGUGUUGACGGAUCCACCAUAUUAGCCUUGCCUGGCCCUUUCCUUCGUCCUUAGAAGACUCAUGACUCCAGCUGAGCUUAUGGGUGAACUCUUUCACAGCAGAAACUGCUUUGCCCUUCCUUCCCCAUGGGCCUUGUACCUGGUCAAGCCUGCAUCUUUCAGCUCUCUGGUCAUCCAGAGGGAAGUCUCACAUGAGUCUUGGUGAGAAUCUUCAACUUGGCCGUGCAAGUUUUCUGAUACUUUCAAUCCAGUUCAAGAUAAGAUACAUACAGCAGUCACACACCCUGAAUCUCAGAUUCUCAGAGGGGUUGAUCCCUCUGAAACAUCUUGCAACCAAAACUCCAUCUUGGCGUCUGCUUCCUUCUGAAGAACUCAACCUGGGACACAGUAAGAGGACAGAUCACCUACCUGUGAGGACCCCUGUGAUUCAGUCUGCCUUUCCCUGGCCACGACCCCAUCCUUGCCCCUGUCUGAUGUCCAAGCUGCCCCUGCUGAGACAGACCUGGCCUCUUCUGGACAGCUCCAGUCACAUAAGGACUCCAUAGCUUGUGUGGGCUCAGAGCACUUUGGCUGCAGAGAGGAAAGUCUUUACCACUGGGCAGGACUCACUAGUUCGUGAUGAAGAUGGUGACACGCCCACCUGGAGAGAUGUACACGGUUUCCUUGGAGGAAGCCCACGGCCUGGAGUGAAUC